UGCAAGUAGAACGCACAGGAUGCACCGUAGUUACUACACCGUAUUCUGUGAGUUGCGAACGGGUGAGUAACGCGUAGGUAACCUGCCUGGUAGCGGGGGAUAACUAUUGGAAACGAUAGCUAAUACCGCAUAAGAACAUUUACUGCAUGGUAGAUGUUUAAAAGGUGCAAAUGCAUCACUACCAGAUGGACCUGCGUUGUAUUAGCUAGUAGGUGAGGUAACGGCUCACCUAGGCGACGAUACAUAGCCGACCUGAGAGGGUGAUCGGCCACACUGGGACUGAGACACGGCCCAGACUCCUACGGGAGGCAGCAGUAGGGAAUCUUCGGCAAUGGGGGGAACCCUGACCGAGCAACGCCGCGUGAGUGAAGAAGGUUUUCGGAUCGUAAAGCUCUGUUGUUAAGGAAGAACGAGUGUGAGAAUGGAAAGUUCAUACUGUGACGGUACUUAACCAGACAGGGACGGCUAACUACGUGCCAGCAGCCGCGGUAAUACGUAGGUCCCGAGCGUAGUCCGGAUUUAUUGGGCGUAAAGCGAGCGCAGGCGGUUAGAUAAGUCUGAAGUUAAAGGCAGUGGCUCAACCAUUGUAGGCUUUGGAAACUGUUUAACUUGAGUGCAGAAGGGGAGAGUGGAUUCCAUGUGUAGCGGUGAAAUGCGUAGAUAUAUGG
rnacentral:rRNA from 1 species